ensembl:lncRNA
ACUGGAGGCUGACGUCCCUUGGUAUCUUCCAUGCACUAAGGCCAUGUUCCCAACCAUUACCUGAGCAUGGCAGCGUCUAGAACUGUACUAUUUCUGCUCAAAAUAGGACUCUUUAGUGGGUAAUCUUUGCUUGGAGACUAUCUUUGUGUCCAAAAUUUUCUCACAGCUAUGAUACUGUCUGAGACUCUUUCAACAAAAGCUUCAUUCUUUCCAUCAUUUAUUUCACAGAUCAGGCCACCACUGAGGGCUGAAGUUUCUCCCUGUCUAUGAAUUGCCUGCUCUUCUCCCUGUCCUUUACAGGCAUUCCCUCAAAAGAUUCUCGUUCACAUCUGAUUCUGUCCUAGUGUAUGCUUCUCAGAGGGCUGAGAAAAUAUCUUCUGAAGCAAAUAUCUUCUAAAAGACUGUCAGGAUGUUACCGAGCCUUUUAAUCUCAGAUCCCUGUGCCUGAUGCGCAGUAGAAAUCAAUGACUAAGACACUUGUGCUUGGAGAUAGAGAAAGAUUUAUUCAAAUUGGCCAAAAGAAGAAUGCAGGAGAGCAGGUUCUCUCAGAUCUACCUUAACAGAAGAAGAUGAAGGGAGUCUUUGUAGGGCUAAGGGACUCAGGAGGAGGAGUUUCAGGAAAACAAAGGGGACGGCUGUGUUUCUUUCACAUCAGAUAAGACCUUAAGCAACCAGACUUCUUGGUGUCAGUGGUAGCUGGGGUCUGGUCACAUGGUCAUCAUAAUUUAGUUAAAGGCUAAGUUUCUCCUCUAUUGAAUUGUCUUCUAGACUUUCAUUCUUUUCUAUUCUCUUAAUGUGACCAAAUAAUUCACCCAUAUAUUCCCUUCCUUGUAAAUCCUUCCAAUGUGCCCUCUGGAUCCCUAAAACAAGAUCAUCCUACUUUUCUACGUCUCAACAGCACCUCAGAACGUUCCCAUCAUCUCUUUACUUUAACUGAAAUAUGACUGUGGGCAGGGAGACUGGCUUCUCAACAACCACCUGAAGUGCUAUUUUUUUUUUUAACACAGAUUGGUAGGAUAAUAGUAUUGCUUGUUUACCAUCUGUAUUUCAGAACAUCAACCUUCUAUCCUCUUGAAAAAAACCUGCUUACCUUAUAUUCACAAUAACCAGAGAGACUAGGCUCUCCUCCUCUUCAUCUGUAGACUUCAUAAUCUUGCCCUUUGAUUUCAAUGAUUAACCCUUCUCAUUCAAUGAAAAUUUUAGGUAUCAAACUGAUUCAUAGUUUUUCUUUCCCUGUGAACUCCAAUAAUUCUUGCUGGAGCCAUAAACAUCUCUGUGAAUGAUCCAGCCAGUAUUCUGAUCUCAGUUUAUUCAUUUUCUUAUCAUCAAUCAUUGAUGACCGUCCCUCUCCCCAACACAUUAUAUUUCAUACUCUCAAUUCCAAGGUCACAUUUCAGAAUUUAUCGCCACCAAAUUCUAAACUAAUGUCAAAAUCCUGAAUGCGUGAAUUCUAUUCUAUCACCAGAAUUCCCUGUCCUUCCUCUCUACUUACUCAAUUAUUUCUGCUUAAAUAUUUUUGAACAUAUAAUGACCUCCACUUUAUUCACGUCAUUGAUUUCUUACUAUCUAUCAACAACCUCCUGUCUUCUCUUCCCAUUUUAUCCAGGUUAGUCUAUGAUCCAUCAUUUUAAUCACACCCAAAUCAUAUAUUCUAGCAGAUUGGAUUCACAUUAAAAUCAUAAUUCCAUGUGUCAAAUGGACUCUACCAAACACAGCUUGGUAAUCUCCGCACUAUGUUCCUUAAGAACGUUCACAUUUCCUUCCAAAUUUUCCAAUUAUCUUGCUUUCUACUCCUCAUCACUAUAUCAGCUGGUGAGAAUAAUUUAUAUUUUAAUUUCAAAAUAUUUAACAAGUAUACUUCUAUCUUCCUGUUCUCGCCUAGUCAUUUAACUUUGCACAACUUCACCUUCAUCUCUCCUUUCAUAUCCAACAAAGUGUUUUUUCAAUCAAAGGGCAAUUGCUCAAUAUAUAAUCCUCCCAUUCUUGCUUGUCUUUUUAAGGAUGUUGACUCUUAAAUUAAUCUAUACCUUAUUAAUAUCCUUAUCCUUUUAAAUAUUUUUAAGCAGUAUGUAAAAUGUCUGCUAAUAGCUAUCACCA